CGUACAAAAGAAAGGAUGCUGAAUCCCUUUCUCUUUUUAAGCAUUCAAACUUAAAUCUUUCCCAUUUUGCCAUAAUAACAAACGUACCACACCUUAUUUUCUCUCUAGCUAAUUAUUUUGUUGUUUCAAUAUGCAAGGAAGCAACAACGUGACUUACAUUUAUAUGGAAACAACACAGUUUUGAAUUGAUAGAGCACUAACGUGACUUGGUAUUUUACGGAAGAAAAAUGUAUUUUUUUUUCUCAAGAACAAUAUUCGGAUUUUGCUCACUGCUUCGAUCUCGUUAUUUCGUCUUAUCGUGUUGUUAAAUCCGGGCUUUCUUCGUAGUGAAGUAAGGUGGAAGAAGAUUAUUUCUUGGAAUAUAAGACCUGCGAGCUCGAGAAGUAGACGUUGGACAUUAGAUAGAGUUCAAGGUAUGUGAGGCUAGUCCUUUCUUUCUAAUGGCAUGAAUCCUAUAGCAUGAGUUCUUUUCCUCUUCAUGAGUUCCUAUUUUCCGGAAAGCUAGAAGCCUAAGUCCAUAAAUGUCUAUAUAAGAUAAGAGAUAUGAUAUGAUGAUGCCAUAUUGAUAAUAAUGCUAUUUAUUGCUUACACUCACCUUAUGUACUAAUUCCUUCAAGGUGAGGCAGAAUGUCAAUAAUUGCUCCAUAAUGAAAUCGGGGGAUCACGACCUUACGCCACCCCGAUAGAGUAUAGUUGAUCUUGAGUCUUAUGCAUGUACUAUGAUAAGCAUAUUGUGAUAAGCAUAUUAUUACAACUAUUUUUGAUGAGCAUGUCAUGAUCAUAAUACACCGCGCCUAGUUGGCCGGGCAGUCACCGCCAAGGCGGGCAGCUAUACGGAUACACCAUGACCUUUUGGCAUGGGCAGACACCACUAGUGGGCGGCAUGAGAUGGUACCCCGGACGCGGGAGGCCUGGACGCAGGCUAAUGUUAUUAAUUAUCACACCGUUCCGAUAUGGACGGGCCGCUUGCAUAUUAUGCAUAUAUGAGAUUAUGAUGAGUAUGAGUAAGACAACAUGCAUUACUUCUUUUAUGAUUGUCAUUCAGAUUCAGAUGUUUCAUAUUGAUGUUCACAUUAUAUUAUCACUGUCUUUCUUCAUUGUUUAUGCCUCUCAUACUCAGUACAAUGUUCGUACUGACGUCUGUUUUCUUUGGACGCUGUGUUCAUGCCCACAGGUAGACAGGGAGGUGAGCUUGGUCCAGACCCUUAGUAGCUGUCAGCUGAUUAAGAGCACUCCAUUGUCCGGAGGUGCUUAUGAUUCUUCUUUUGGUAUAUAUGCAUAUUUUGGGCACGACGGAGUCUUGUUCCGUCUAUAUGUUUAGUAUGUCAGUAGAGGCUCGUAGAUACGCAGUGUGGGUCAGAUGGUCUCACAAGAUGUUAUUAUUAUGUAUAUAUUAUUUUUAUGGCCGAGAGGCAAAUGUAUAUAAGUAUUUAUGUUUCUAUAUAAAAUAUGAUUUUCCUACAA